rnacentral:ncRNA from 2 species
CCAAUAGCGUAUAUUAAAGUUGUUGCAGUUAAAAAGCUCGUAGUUGAAUUUCGAGACCGGCUUACUGGUCGUGCUUUUGUACGUACUGGUAUAAUCGGUUUCUCCUUUCUGACGAACUAUAAUGCCAUUAAUUUGGUGUUAUAGGGAAUCAGGACUGUUACUUUGAAAAAAUUAGAGUGUUUAAAGCAGGCUCACGCUUGAAUACAUUAGCAUGGAAUAACGGAAUAGGACGUUUGAUUCUAUUUUGUUGGUUUCUAGGAUCGACGUAAUGAUUAAUAGGGAUAGUUGGGGGCAUUAGUAUUCAAUUGUCAGAGGUGAAAUUCUUGGAUUUAUUGAAGACUAACUACUGCGAAAGCAUUUGCCAAGGAUGUUUUCAUUAAUCAAGAACGAAAGUUAGGGGAUCGAAGACGAUCAGAUACCGUCGUAGUCUUAACCAUAAACUAUGCCGACUAGGGAUCGGAUGAUGUUAAUUUUUUAAUGACUCAUUCGGCGCCUUACG